rnacentral:rRNA from 1 species
AACGGUCCUAAGGUAGCGAAAUUCCUUGUCGGGUAAGUUCCGACCUGCACGAAUGGCGUAAUGAUGGCCAGGCUGUCUCCACCCGAGACUCAGUGAAAUUGAACUCGCUGUGAAGAUGCAGUGUACCCGCGGCAAGACGGAAAGACCCCGUGAACCUUUACUAUAGCUUGACACUGAACAUUGAGCCUUGAUGUGUAGGAUAGGUGGGAGGCUUUGAAGUGUGGACGCCAGUCUGCAUGGAGCCGACCUUGAAAUACCACCCUUUAAUGUUUGAUGUUCUAACGUGGACCCGURAUCCGGGUUGCGGACAGUGUCUGGUGGGUAGUUUGACUGGGGCGGUCUCCUCCUAAAGAGUAACGGAGGAGCACGAAGGUUGGCUAAUCCUGGUCGGACAUCAGGAGGUUAGUGCAAUGGCAUAAGCCAGCUUGACUGCGAGCGUGACGGCGCGAGCAGGUGCGAAAGCAGGUCAUAGUGAUCCGGUGGUUCUGAAUGGAAGGGCCAUCGCUCAACGGAUAAAAGGUACUCCGG